AAGAGGAAAGGCAACACAGCUGGAGAGAGAACCAUCCAAAGCCUGUGACGUAGGCAGGAAGGGCGUGAGCUUUUCACAAGGCCUGUCAGACAGAGCAUUUCAACCCGGGACUGAGUCGGGAAGAGGAUGGAAGACGGAACUGAGCUUCUAUCAGCUACCCACCCAGCAUUUGCAGCUCUGAACGGAGUCAAACACAAGAACAGCUUCCAGGCAUUCCAAGAUGGAAUGUUUGGUCCAAGAUUGUCCACAUGGCACGAAGACUACCCCAGCCAAGUCACAGACUGUUAGACAGAUGGGAAGCAAUCCUAGCAGACUGAAGAUACAGCUCACAGGAGAGAUGCACAGACUGCCCCUCUUGUUCACAAGGGAGACUUCUCGAUGCUGGAUUCUCUACACUGGGUCUGAAGUGGCCAAUGAGGAGGAAGACAGGAAGAUGCUUGACCAAUGAAUGAGCUUUGAGUGGAUUUGCCCCAAAAGUACCUGUUGUCUCCACUGUGGAAGAGACUCACACAUAAGACAGGAAGAUAGGACAACCCUCCCUCUAGCACGGCAAGAAUUGUUUGCUCUUGUGGUUCCCAGGCCUUGGACAACUUCUAUGUCUGACACCCUGGAAGAGGUCUGGUGGGGGAAGCACUAGCCGAGCUGGCUGGCCUGGUUACUGGGUAGGACGAAGAGGUGGAGGGCUGAGGUAGGGAAGCGUGGUGGUUUCUUAUUACUGGCGGCUCUAGCUGGCAUAACAUGAAACCAUAAGGGGGAUAUGCAACAGAAGCAGAAUUGACAUAGGAAGCAGUGGGUAGAAAUAAGUGGGUGUUGGUAGGAAGCAAACCAAGUGAGCUGGGAAAUACAGAGCAAUCUCAGAUUCUUGCCUGGCUCCUGACUCUCUCACCUAAAGGUGUGUCUUAACAAAGGUUGUUUCUUUAUGCAGGUUCUCGUGCACCCUGGCUUCCAGCCUUUGUAAUGCCUGGGACAUUCUGCCCUCAGAUCCUAACUUAUGGGAAAAUUCAAGCUCAGAAGACUAGGAAAGGAGCCCCGGCAGCCCUUGCCUAGUUUCUCUGGCUCGAGGGCAGCCCUUUGACGGCCCUCAAGCCAACAACAUGAGGACUGAAGGAGAACGUUGUUAGCAGGUUGGCUUUUAACACAGACCCACCUACACAGCUCCUGACCCCAAAGGAGAAGGUCCUAUCUCCAUACUGAAUACUGAAGAGCUGAGUUCCCAGAGUGGGGUGGUCAAGACCAUCAAACCCUGACACAGUGAGGCUCCAGGCCCUGGAGCCCUGGUCUCACUCAUAGACGUGCUUGCUUAUUCUCACUGGCUGGAACAUACGCUAGCUGGUGGAAUGGCGCUGGGUCCCCCCAUGCAGCAUGCAAAGGCCAGCAUGCACAGUGUGCUCACCCUUUCAGGGGAUUGUGGCAUCACCCAGGCUAGGAGCCAGCUGUUCCCUCUAUAGCACACCUUCUAGAGUCAUCUCUAUGAUUAGAGAUGUCAGGUUCAGCAAGGCUCAGGUGGCCACAGUAGGUUUUUCUCUAGGCUUCAGAGGGUUCUUCAUGUGAGAUCCCUUCCGAGCCAGCCUCCUACUACUAGGGACAAGCAUUAUGUGAAAGGAGAGCGCACAUUUGCAUUCUCUAGUCAACACUCUCUAUACCCCUUCCUUUCAAGUUUGGCUUCUCCGCUGAAAGGGUGAGCCUGGAGCAUGCUUUUAGCCCGUGCCACUUUCUCUUGCUGGGCUCUAGCCAGCAUGGGCUCCAUCUGCACUGCCCCGUGCCAUGCCCGUUACCUCUGUUCAUGGUACAAUACCUGCAGUUGGAGUAGCUUCAGACACAGCACCCAAGAUGGCCAGAGAGAGAGGGAGAGAGGACGGAGAGGGAAGAGAAAACAGCAUAGGUGAGACCACAGAGGAGAGCAGAAAGGGCCUGGCUCAAGCCUGACUCCGGGGGGAUGGGCAGGUGCUAGAUGCGGCCCUGUGGAUGCUAAAUGAUGUUUAGGGAGUCAUGCUCAACCCCACUGGAGUCAGGCAGGUUCCCACCUGGGGCUUAGAGACCUAACACAUCAUGUUUCUAUCCAUAUUCAAGGCCUUGCCAUAUAAGAGGUGCCUGCAGGCACAGUGCAAGCAAAGUGUUAUAUUCCAGCUUUUUUUCCCCAAGGAUUAGUCCUGCCCUGGCUGGGUUAAGUGACCCUCUAAGAUGCCAGGAAUUGAGGAAGAAGAUGUAGUGUAGGUGGUGGUGGGGGCAGCCAAUUCUGGGCAAAAAGAGCCCCUUCAAGAUGCUGGGUAGUGGUGAGUGAGGGACCGUCCGCAGCUCGUACUUUCAAAGUAUGAUGCUGCUGAAGGCCCUGGAGCUCUGAAAGCACCUGACCUGGUUUUCUGCUGCCUCGGUUUCCCCCCAUUAAUUGUAUUUCACGAAGCUAGCAACACAAAUACGACUAAGAGCUUUAGAAUAAAUCUCUGAAAUUUUCCAUAAAUCCA